AUGACUGCUUCACAAACCCAAUCUGGUGACUCUUUCAGUUUCGAAGACUUCUAGAAAAUCUUCACUCGGCCAUAUAUAACUCCGAACUUCCUUGCACCAGCCAAUGCCGAACUCAAUGAGUUCUAUCUAGGUCCUUCAUUCAACAAUGCCGAGGUAGUCAAACAAGUGGCGGUGGGCCAGCUGUUCCCUUGUACUCAAGGCCCUCC
rnacentral:lncRNA from 1 species